GUUAUGUUAUAUGGUUAUAUAACAAGAAAAAAUUAUGGAUGUAUAGGAUAGGUUUUUUCCAAGAUUAAGAUUCAUCUAGUAUGCCUCAUUGAUUAUAGGAAAAUGAUGAAAUGUUAUUUUUUAAUAGAGAUCAGAUAAUUUCUUUUGAGGCAAUUCUAAACUACUGUAUUAUAUUUGUAUUGGUAUAUUGAAAGCAUUUUGCUGACCCAGAAGAGAAUAAAUAAUAUAAUAAUUAUAAAA